rnacentral:lncRNA from 1 species
GAGGGUCGACGCCGCCCCCCGCGAGGGCGUCUUUGCGUGAAACUAGAAUUCGACCGAUUAUUGAAGGAAGAAUUUUGAGGCUAGAUUUCGCCUCACACCGAGCCGUAAUGCGUCCCGCCCCGCCUCUCCCGGGGCUCGUCCCCGAUCCUGAUGCUGAGCGUGCUGAACACGCCGAACCCGAGAUCGCUCCCGCGUCGCGCCGACGCCUUCGGCGUGUCGUCCCCCGCCCCGCCCCGUCGCCGCCCCGCCCCGGCCGACGAGCCGCCGCCGAGGCUGCCGUAAAAGCCGCCGCCGCCGCCCUCGAGAUCCCGGCCCGCCCGGCCCCCGUCCUCGUCGCCCCCGACCGCGCAGAAGUCCCGCGGCUUCUUCGUCGCCGUCUUCUCCACUAUGUCCCCCGGCAUGGCCCUCGCGGCGAGGUACCAGUGCACCUGUCCCCACACGCAGAAGAUCAUGGAGUACGCCAGAGCGUACCUGAUCGAGUCCAAUCCGUACCGUCCGGAGAGCCUGUCGGACAGCCAGCCGAUGAACAGCGGGCCGACCGAGCCGCCCACGAGGUUGGCGAGGACGCCGAAGAACCCCGCCGCGGUGGCGCGCAUGUGGUUGGGCACCAGCGACUGCACGAUGGCGCCGGGCGGGCCGACCAUCACCAUGAAGAGCGCCACGACAACCGCGGAGAGGUAGAUGGAAUCGGUCCGGGACUUCACGAGCACCGCGACGACCAUCAGGGGCGCCGCGAUGACGUUGCAGAUCAGGAUGAACCACAGCAUCCACCGCUGGUCUCCGCUCGCCUGAACCAGCCAGUCGCCCACGAUACCUCCGGUGACGAUGCCGAUCGCGCCGAAAACCCCGCCCACCAUGGACAUGGACAGCCCCGCGCUCUUAAUCGUCAUCUCGUGAGAUCUCACCAGGAAUAUCGGCAGGAACGCCAUGAUGCUCAGUCCCACGCCCACUUGGAUCAUCACGCCGAUGGACAGGUGUAUAAACGUCGCGCGCCGCCGCAGGUGCUCGAACGUGUCCUUGACGCCCCGCCACAUCUCCGCCCAAAACGCGCCCGAGGUCAACGUCGCCGCGGCAGCCGCCGCGGACGGCUUAUUAGCCUUCGAACCCCCCGGUGACUCACCGCCGGGCGACCCCGGAACGCUCUGGUACCUGCCCAUGGACUGUUCCACCGGCGGGUCUUCGAGCGUCGCGACGAUCAACGCGGCGAGCACCAACCCCGGGAUACCCAGCACCCCGAACACCCCCCUCCAGCCCAGCGAGUCGAUGAGCAUGCCCCCGAUGAAGUUGGCCGCCGCGGUGCCCACCGCGAGGCCGAGCUGCUGCAUGGCCAUCGCGCUGGCUCGCUCGCCCGGGCCGUACAUGACCGCGAUGAGCGACUGCGCCGCGGGCGUGCACCCCGCCUCUCCCAGCCCGAUCCCGACGCGCAGGAAGCACAGCUGCGUGGUGUUCUGCGACAGCCCGCUGAGGGACGUGAGCGCGGACCAGACGAUGAGCGAGCCCGCGAGGAGGUACUUGCGCCCGCACAUGUCCGCUAUGCGUGCCAAUGGAAUCGUCGCGAGCGCGUAGAUGAGCACGAACGCGGCGCCGUUGAGCAUGCCCGCGUCCGCGUCCGUCAUGUUAAACUCGGGAGAAAUCUUGGGCAGCAAGAUCGCCGGGAUGUUCCGGUCGGUGGUCUGCAGCGUGGCGAUGAGGAAGAGCAGGAAGAGGACGUAUCGACGGUACCACUUGUUCGGGUAACACGUCUUGAAGUCAUCUCCACCGCCCUUUCCAUCCCCGACGAGGCCCGCCCCCUCGUCCUCUCCCAUCGCGCCUCCCCUACCCUCGCGCGGCACCGUUGUGUAACGCCGGUGUGUCGAACGCUAGAGCCAGGGCGGAAAUGUAACAUCUUGGGUCUGAUGAACUGAACGCGCGGAUCUCCGAACGGCGAAUUUUUGCCGAGUGCAACUCGCGCGAGUGAAAGAGGAAAACGAGGGUCUAUCGAGGGUUUAAAUGAAAAUUUCGUAAACGUAUGAGCAAACAGUCUACGCGCGGUGCGUUCUAGAGGUGAGAAUCGCGACGGGCGCUCGUGGCUGGAAACGUGUAAAAAGCGAGCCGGCUCCACGAUGUGAGUCAGCAGCGCGCGACGCAUUGCGGCAAGAUGACCCACGACAACGAGUUCCUCGAGGGCCUGGUGAAGAGCGGGAUGAUGAUCCUGCUCAGCGAGAUUGGCGACAAGACCUUCUUCAUCGCCGCCAUCAUGGCCAUGCGCCACUCGCGCCUCACGGUGCGCCCCCUUCCGCGCGAGCGCGAAUCCCUGCAGAGCCUCUCGUCGCACUAGGGUUGUGCGCUGACCGUCCCCGCUCCGGUUCCCCCGUCCCCACCGUCUCCGCAGGUCUUCAGCGGCGCCAUCGGAGCCCUCGGAGUGAUGACCGCGCUCUCCGCGGCGAUGGGAUGGGCCGCCCCGAACCUGGUGAGUUCCGCUCGCGCCCUCCCAACGACGUCCCCGGCGGACCCGAUUCCUCCCUCUUCGCGUCGCCAGCUGAAAAGCUCGAUGGAUAUUUGCGGUCGCCUCCCGGGCCCACGUCUUCACCCCUAAAAUACUUCCCCGAUUAAAAACGAUACGUCUGUGCAGAUAUCCAAGGAGAUCACCCACUACCUCGCCGUCGGCCUCUUCUUCUUCUUCGGCGGCCGGUCGCUGUACGAGUCCGUCGUCGCGUGGGACGGCGGCGGCGACGAACUCGCCGAGGUUGAAGCCGAGCUCGCGGACGAGGACGAGAAGAAGAAGAAGGGCAAGAAGGGCAAGAAGGACGCGAGCUCGUUUCUCCUAUCGCCGGUGCUCGUCGAGACGUUCGUGAUCACGUUCCUCGCGGAGUGGGGCGAUCGGUCGCAGAUUGCGACGAUCGGGCUCGCGGCUUCGAGCGACCCGGUUGGCGUGACCAUCGGCGGGAUCGCGGGACACGCGGUGUGCACCGGCGCGGCCGUGAUUGGCGGCCGGCACAUGGCCGAGCACAUCUCCGAGAGGGCGGUGGCCAUCGCGGGCGGCGUGCUGUUCUGCCUUUUCGGGGCGCACUCGCUCGUGACGGGGUUGGAGGAGUGAGUAGCUCAAUUGUCAAUUCAUCACUUCAGUGCACAGUCGUGUCAGAAUGUGUUCCCACGAACGCAGAUUCUCCAAAAACUCGCGCGAAAUUCUAUCCUUUCCUUUCCUCACACCCACACAGCACCGCGCUGUCGGGGAGCCGGAUCCCGACCUCGAUAGGUCCGUUCGUCUCAUCCGGUCGCGGACGUGCGGUGUGCGAGAUCCGAGGCUCGGCGGCGGCUCAGGGCAUCGAACCGGGGCGGGUAGCGAGUCCCGGCGAACUCGUGACUUUCAAAAAAGGAGGGACGCGGGUGCCGAGGGGUCCACGGGCGACGUUUGACCGGAGCCCCCCAUGGCGUCGCUCAGCGAGCUGCUCAAUCCCACGGGGGGCAUGGAGGAGCACGACUACGCGCAGCUCCCGUCCAUGAUCGAGGAGGAGUACGAGGAGGAGUACGACGAUCAGCCGGGCGCCAUGGGACCAGACGGCCACGGCUUUCUCAAGGGCGAGGUCGGCAGCAGCUUGCGCAUACGCAACCUCGACGCGUGGUUCCAGGCGCUCUAUCAGUACUACAAGGAAAAAGGAUUCUACUGCAUCGUCACCAGUAGGGUGGUGAACCUUUUGACGCUGGGGUUCACCAUCUUCCUCUCCGGGUUCAUUCUCCUCUACCUGGACUUUGCCUACCUCAGCGGUCAGUGCGCCGAGGAUGGCGACGAGUGUCACAUCUUGCGCGACGCGACCUUCAGAAACCCGCUGCGUCACCGGUCGUUCCUGUACAACCUCGUGGUCGUGUGCUACUUGAUGCUUUUCUCGCUCUAUUUUCUGUGGUCCUUGGUGAGACUGGCGCACGACUUCAAGCCUCUUCUGGAGAUGCGAGCGUUUUGCAACCGAAAACUGCAGCUGAGCGACAGGGAUAUACAGACAAUAACCUGGCCAGAGGUUGUCGCCAGGGUGGUGCACCUGCAGGCCACUACCCGUCUUUGUAUCGUCAAGGACCUCAACGAGCACGAUAUAGUGGCCAGGAUCUUGCGCAAGGAGAACUACCUGCUCGGCAUGCUCAACAGGGAGGUGAUCGGCUUGAAGCUCAAUAUUCCCUUUUUCCGCAAUCGCGUAUGGCUGACCAAAGCGGUCGAGUGGAACCUCGACUGGGCUAUUUUCAACGGGAUGUUCGACGAUGACUUCUCGAUCCGGCCGUCGUUCUACGACGUCACCGCCCUGAGGCUCCGUAUGAGGUACCUGGCGGUGGUGAACCUGGUGCUAUCGCCGUUCAUUGCCAUAUUUUUGGCAAUGUAUUUCGUCAUGAACAACGCGGAGAGGUUUUACAGGCACCCCGGCGUGGUGGGCCAGCGCGAGUGGAGCACGCACGCGUGGUGGAAAUUGAGGGAGUUUAACGAGCUCAGCCACUUCACGGAACAGCGGCUGGCGGCGGCGUACAAGGGUGCGAACAACUACGUCUCGCAGUUUCCAUCCCCCGUCGUGUCCAUGGUGGCCAAGUUUGUGAGUUACAUCGUGGGAGCGCUCGCGGCUGUGGCGCUCGCGUUGCCACUGCUGCUGGACGAUAAGCUGCUUCACGCGAACGUCAUGUGGGAUAAGGAUAUCCUGUGGGUCACGAUGGUGAGCGCGACUGUGCUGGCGGUGUCUAGGGGUAUGGUGGGCGAGGAGAACAGGGUGUUCAGGCCCAACAGGUACAUGGCCGAGGUUGUGAGGCACACGCACUACCUGCCCAAGAACUGGCGUAACCUCGCGCAUAAACCCGAGGUGCAGGCGGAGUUCGAGGACAUGUUCGCCUUCAAGGCUGGUCUAUUCCUGCAGGAGAUGCUGUCCAUAUUCGCGGUGCCGUUUAUCCUGUGGUACCCAAUGUGCGAGAGCGCUCCGGAUAUCGUCCAAUUCGUACGGCAGUUCACCGUCCACCGCAAGGGUGUCGGCCACAUAUGCAGCCUCUCCGCGUUUGACUUUCGCAGGCACGGCGACGCGCGGUACGGCGCCCCGACCAACGCGCGAAGGGACGCGAGGAGCAAGCAGGGCAAGAUGGAGAAAUCCUUCGUCUCCUUCCACGCGCACUAUCCCACUUGGGAGCCCGACGCGGGGGGGCGGGAGAUGCUCACCUCGUUGGCGGGGUUCAAGAGCGCGCUCUACGCGAACGUCGGCCCGGAGGGCGCCGGCGUGCACAACGCGACUGAGGGUGGCGCUUCCAGGUUUGGCGUCGCUUCGAGGUUCGGAAACGGGAACGGCGGCGGGGGCGGUUCCAAGUUUGCCGCGCCGGGCAGCGCGAGCAUGUUCCUGGGCGACGACGGCGGCGGCGUCGGCGGGAUGGCGCGGUCCGCCGUCGCGCGCGCGGGCGACGACGACGGCGACGCCCCGAGGGAUGAGCGCCAGGAGGAGGAGAACCAGGUGCUGUUGCAGCAGUUUUACGAGUUUCACGGCGGGGACGGAAACGACGAGGGAAACGACGACGGCGGCGCGGCGGCGCGGGCGGCUGACGCUCCGCGGGACGCCACGCCGCCGCGUUCGGCGGUCAAGAGACGCCCCGAUCCCCCCGCGUCGUUCGAGAUGACCGAAAGCGCGUCGUUCACGCCGCCGUCGUCGAUGCCGCGGCUCUCCUCUUCGCUUCCCGGGACGGGACCCGGGACGCCGCCGACGAUCAACGGAACUUCGGGAGCGCCGACGUCGGCGCCGAGCGCGGACACGACGGACAGCGACGAGCUCGACGCCGCAAACUUUGACGACCCGCCGGACCUGUUUCAGCUGGAGAACGGUACCCGCGGGUUCUGACGCGCGUCGUUCCUUUCCGCGGUGCGUGGACUCCCGGCGUAGUACUCUUAGACUGUUGUAAUAAAAUCCGCUUUGAGCAAUCUACCUCCCCUUUUUCUUCAGAGCCUGCUUGACGGCAGCCGGCGACACGGGCGCGGGAGCCGCGUUCGGCGACGUGGACGGGCUGGCGCGGCCGGACGUCUUCAUCGACACGCCCGGCGAGUUUCGGGUGGACACAUAGAGCGACGCCUCCGCGCGAGCCGCCUCCGCCUCCUCCUCAGCCCUCUCCGCCUUCCUGCGAAGCUUCGCGAGCUCCUUGCUCAUGAGCUCGUUCUUAUCGCGCAGCAUGUCCACCUGCGAUUGGAGCGACCCUUCCCUCGCCGACGCCUCCGCGGCGGCCAACUGCGCCCGCUCCUCCUGCUCCGUGAGGAUGACAUCCUUCGCCUUGAACACGGAGAGCCGCGCGGGCUGGUCCGAAGGGCCCCCCCGCCGCCCCGAGCUCUCCCCGCCCGAAGCCUCCCGUCCGGCUCGACUCGGUGGCUUACCGCUUCUCACCCUCGCGGCGUGCUGCUUGGCGUGUUGAAGCUCCCUGCGGAUGCGCGCGAUCUCCACGUCGCGAGCGCGCCGCUCCUCCGCAGCCUCCGGGUGCUCAUCCGGGCUCCGGAAGCCCCUAGCCGCCGCCUCGGCGAGUCCCGCGCCCCACGAGCUCGGCUUGAUCAUCGCGUCGGCGCCCACGACCGCCGCCUGAAGCUCGCGAAUGUCGAGCCGCUCCGUGAUUCGUUCCUCGGGAGGGGCGGCGCGACUCGGCCGAGGACGCUCGCCGCGUCUCCCCUCGUCCAUCGAAGACGCGUCCGUCGACGGCGGAGCGACCCGACGCGCCCGCCUCUUCCCUUCCGGCGACGUCCGCGUCCAAUCGGAUUCCAUCAGCUCCACGUCGUCUUCGUCCACGAGGGCGACUCGCGUGAUCGGGGUCAUCGCGGCGGCAGCCUCGGGGGACGGCUUGGAGUACGCCACCGCCCACAGCGCAAACGCGACCGCGGUGAGCGCGCCGAGGACGGUGAGGUGCGGCGCGAUGAACCUCAGCGGGGCGGGCGCCGGCGAGAGCAUCGCGGACAUCGCGUCGCCCCGAAGGUGCGCGUAGGUGACGAGGCCGACGGCGACGGAGGCGCCGAGGAAGAUGAACGCCGUGGAGUAGCGCGCGUUCUUAGCCUCGGCCACGAGCCGCGUGAACCUUCGCGCGAGCUCGGUCCUCACGAUCCUCUCCGCGGCGGCUUGCUCGCCGGCUUCGACCGCCUGCUGCUUCAGGAACUUCGCAGCCUGGUACGCCGACAGGCCCUGCGUCAGCGUCCCGUCCUCGAUGAGCUCCGACAGGAGCUCGUGGUUCUCGAGCCGAAGCUUCUCGGACGUCGCCAGCAGAGACUCGUUCGCCUCGCGGAGCGCCUUGGCCUCCUCUCGGAGCAACGCCGCCUCGCGCUCCGCCGCGUCCCUCGCCGCGAACACCCCUUGCCUGUGACUGGCCACGGCGCCCCCCUCCCUUAAAUCGUCGCCCAUCUCCUCGAAACCAGCCGCCGCGCCGCUCGCCGCCUCCGCCGAAACGUCCAACCUCGCGGCCCGGAGCUUCUCAACCUCGGCUCGAAGCGAGAGAAGCUCGGCGGUGUGCCUCUCCGCCACGACGGACGCGUAGUGCGCCUCCGAGUCGAACGCCGACGCGUCCAGGAGCUGCUUCCGUAACCCGUCGUUAUCGGCGCGAAUCGCGUCGUUGAGCGCGGCGUGCGCGCGGAUGGACGCGCGAAGCUCAUCCACCGUGGUUCCGAUCGCCUUCUCGUCGCUGACGUUUUGGUAGAGCCGCUGCCUCGCCACCGCCGCGGCGUCCACCGCGGCGUCAAGCUGCACCCUCAGGUCGCGCGCCCGCGCGGUGGCGCGCGACCACCGCGCGCGAAGCAGCGCGUGCGCCACGGCGAGUCCCGCGACGCGCCUGUUGGCAAACAGGGUGAGGAAAAAAGCGGAGCAGGCAACCGCGUUGAAGAGUCCCCACGGCUCGACCCGAGGAGCGCCCCACGCGUCCGCGGUGCCGGGGGCGACACGCGCGCGCCGCUCGGCGUCGCGCACCCGCCCGCGCAGCGUCUCCACGGUGGACUCCAACCGGAAGGCGUCGUCCCUGGCGGCUUCGUACGCGGACUCGAGCGCGGCCAACGACGCGGGGAGCUCGGGCCAAAACGCGGACGAGUCGUCGUCGUAUUUUCCCGAUUUUUUCUCCGGCGAUUCGUCCCACUUUUCGUCCGACAAUUCGUCGAGGUCGUCCUCGCCGGAGCUCAUCGUGCCCGGAUCGAUGGAGCGCGUCUUCACACCACGCACAGCGCGCCGGAUCGCUCGGUCCUUUCGGUCCUCGACGCGCUCGAGCUCGAGCUCCCGCUCCCGCCGCUCCGACAGUUCCGACGCGUGCUGAGCGGCGAGGGCAGACGCGAACGCUCGCUGCUGCGCCGCAGCCGCGUGCGAUCGGCACGUCUCCAGCGCCGCCUUGGCGACGUGCCGUUCCUUGACGAGCAGCAUGCGGUGCGCGUCCGACGCCGUCCUCAACGCCUCCGCCGCGGCGUCGCCGCCGAGGAAGGACUCCGCCGCCACCGUCGCCGUCAACCGCUGCGCCGCGUCGAGCUCGUUCUGAAGCGCCGCCGCGUGUCGUUCGGCGUCGAUCCUGUCGUCGAUGGCGUCGCUCAGCGCCGCGGCGCACGCCGGUCCCGCGGCGGACGCCAUCCGCCGGCUCAUCGCCGUGAUCCGCCGCUCGAGGAGCGCGUUGUGAAUCGCCAAAUCCGCGGGCUCGCCCGUGACGACGGAGAUGAGAAAGGCGGCGAACCUGCGAGGCAGGCUCUUCGUCGAACGAACCGAGGCGACGGAUGCGAGGGAGUCGGACGCCGCCGCCGAGGCAGCCUCAGCCUCUAUAGCGGCCUCGUUGGCCGCCCUGGUGGACGCGGCGGCGGCGUCGGCGAUGGAUACCGGAGCAGCGUACGCCCCGGACGCUAAAUCCGCCUUCGCCGCCUCGAGCUCCCUCUCGAGACGCGCCACCUCCUUGACGAGCGUCGCCACCUCCCCGUCCCGGGUAACGCCGGGGGGUAAGGCGCAGGACCCCGAGCCCGUACCGAACGGUCCGCCUCCACGGCUUCGUCGCGCGUUCGCCUUGGCGCGCUCCGCCUCCACGGCUCGAAGAGACGCCAGCUCGACGCGGUACACCUCCGCUCGGGUCUCCGCCUGGGCCCUGGCCUCCUCCUCCGCGCGAAGCCGCUUGUGCGUCAGGGCAUGGGCGGCGUCCCUCGCAGCCUCCGCCGCCUUGGGCGCGCCGACGACGUACCCGCGCGCCCUUUCCAUCGCGCCGCCCGCGGUGCCGUUACCCCCGAGCAAAAAUUCGAGCGUCUCCACCUCGAUCCUCCUCGCCUCGGCGCGAGCCUCGGCGUCCCUGAGCGCCUCCGCCGCCUGCUCCACGCGCUCGCUCGCGACCCUCGCCGCGGCGACGAGCUUCGCGGCUCCGACGAUCUUCAGCCGCGCGUUCGGGUCGGGAUGCGCCACCACAAACGGGGGAACCGUCGCUAAACCCGACGUUAAACCCCCGUUUCCGUUUGUCGAGGAAGAAGAAGACGAAAAAGACGAAGACGCCCCGAGCCCGGGUCCCGUCGAGGAGACGCCCGCGAGCUCGGGUCCCGCCGCCUUGAGCGCCUCGAGCUCGAUCGCGUACUCGUCCGCGCGGGCCUCCGCCUCGCGCCUCGCCGCCGCGUACGCCGCCAGCUUUUCGUCCAUCAGCCGCGCCGCCGCCGCCUUAGCCGCCUCGGCCGCGUCCUUGGCCGUCUCGGCGCGAGCCCUCGAGGCCGCCGCCGCAGCCUCCGCCCAGCACGUGCCUCCGCCCGCCGCGCCCCAGCCGGAUUUACCGCCGGGUCCGCCUGCAGGGAGGAAGCCGUCGUCGACGAGGGAUCGGAGGAGUUCCGUCUCGAUUUUGAACCCAUCCGCCUCAUCCGACGCGGCUCGAGCCGCGUGUACCGCGGAUCGCACGCGCUCCUCCGACGCCACGGACGCGGCGUCCACGGCGGCUCGAGCCACCUGCGCGGAGAAGCCGACGCCGGGGUCGUCGAGCCACGCGCGCAUCGGGUUUGACGUAUCGUAUUCGUCGGUUGGACCGUCGGACCGAACGCCCCCACUCGCGCCGCCGCAUCGCGUCGCCAGCGCCCGCAGCGCGUGCACCUCCACGCCGAGCGCAUCCGCGCGCCGCUCCGCCACGCGCGCCCUCGCGGCGACGUCCUUUGUCUCGUUCGACGGGCCCGCCCCCGCCGCGUCCCCCGCACAGCCGCGCGUCGUCUCCAGCGCCCUCCGAGUCGAAUCCAGCUGCGACUCGAGCGACGCCGCCGAGUCUCGCAGCUCCCGGUUACGCUUCCGGAGCACCACGUUCUCCCCAGCCUCGAUCCCGGACGCGACGCCGUACCGCGCGUAGUCGUGCGCGAGGGGCGCGAACGAUUCGAUCGAACCCCGCGCGACGGCCCAUCGGUUCGUGGCAGCUUCGGCGACGUUGGAUUUGAUCCUCGCCAGAGCGUACCGCCCCUCCGUCCUCGCCCACGAGAGAGACAGGUAGAUGACGAACGCGUAGAGCACGGCGCGCAGGACGUUGAACACCGCGAGUGCCGCGCGCUUACGUCGCUCCGCCUUCUUCGCGUUUUGCCGUUUGACCUCCAGCCGGGCGCGGUAGUUUCGCUGGAUGGCGAGCGCGGCGGAGAUGCGUCGCGUCUCCUCGAGUUGCAAUCGCUGCUCCUCCUCCUCCUCCGGCGUGAGCUUGCGCUUGAACAGGAGGUUCAUGACGUUUCGCUCCUUGAGCUGCUUGGCGAGUUGGACCUCCGCUUGGGUCACCGCCGUCUCCGCGGCGUCCUUGGCGGCACGCGCGGCGCCAAACUCGGAGCGCGCGAGGAGCAGGGAGGACCUGGCGAGCGUGCACCGCUUGACCGCAUCUUGGGGCGCGCGUUUCGGACCGCCCGCGUCCUUCAGCGCGGUCUCCGCGGCCUGCACCUCCCUGGAGGCGGCCACGAGCUUGGUCUGAGCGUUCCUCAUGGACUUCAACGCGGCAUCCUGCGUCGGCGCGGGGGGGAAGGGGGCGUGUCGGUCAGGCUCGGCGGUGUCGAAUCGAGAUCGACGGGUUUGUUUUUUUUCGGGCGGGCACUCACCCGCUCCUCUCGCAGCUUCUUCAGGCUCUUGCGUCCCUCGAACUGCGACUGGAGCCCGUCCACGGCCUCCUCCGCAGUCUUCUUGAUGUCCUCGAUCGCCGCCUCGAAUUUCUGCACGUUCUUCUUGUGCUCCUCCUCGAAGAACUUCACGGUGGCGUCGGUGUUCCUCUGGUGCUCCUCCCAGAGUUUUUCGUACCAGAGCUUGGACGCCUCGGUGCCGUCCCCGGUCGCGGGGGCUCGGGACGCGGGGUCGGUCGUUCCCCCGCGCGCAUCGCCCGGCGCCCGCGCUCGCGGCGAGUCCGGCGUCGGGCCGGGCUCGCCUCGGGGCGCCAUCCUGGAGCUCCUCCUCGCGACCGACGCUCCCUCCCGUGUGCGUCUGGAUCCGACGCAGAGGGUGUUGAGAAGCAACUUGAAAAUUUCGCGAUUUCUUCCCGGGCAGCACGACGUAAUAGGGGUUAAGAUAUCGUACGGUGCGCAGUUGGGAAAUGGAUUCAAUCGUAACCCUCAGUCUAUCGCGCGUGACCCUGAUGACGAGCGAGCGCGGGAGAGUCGACGACGACGCUCGCGAGACUUUCCCAUCCUCCGUCGCUCGCAUCCUCCGCAUCGUCGUCACCGGCCGCCGCGGCCUCGUCCUCGGCCCAUCAUUUCCUUUUCGUUCAUCUCGCGAUCAAGCCUUAGUACUCCUCGUGGACCGCUUCGCCGGAGUCUUUGGUCUCUUCGCGGCGGGCGCCGCCUUCUCCUUCGCCGCCGCCGGGCGCUUAGCCGGGGUCUUCUUGGCCGGUCUCUUCUCCGUCAGCACCUCCCCCGCGUCGUCGUCGCCCGCGCCGUCAUCGUCCCGAUUGACCGACGCGUACCCCGGAAAGUCGUACUCGAUGCCCGCGUCGGCGAUCUUCUUACGCCGACGCCGCUCCCCACGGAGGAGCGCCGAGUUUCUCGCCUUUUGCUCAUCCGCGCUCCUCUCCCUGUCGUGCUGCGUCGCCGCCUUCUUCUGCCAGGGCACCUGCUUGAACUUCCUGUUGGCGCCCUUCCACAUCUCCGGGUGGCACUCCGCCUCGGUCAUCGUGCGAACCUUGAGGACGGACUCGAAGAGGAGGUAGCCGUUCAUGCUCUCGGCGACAAUCUGCGCAACCUCGGGGUGCUUGAACUCGACAAAGGCGUAGUGCUUGGACUUGCCGGUCUUCUUGUUGCGGGAGAGACGCAGGCGGGUGACCUCGCCGAACUGGCUGAAGUAUCCGCGCAUCUGUUCCUCGUAGAAACCGUGCGGGACGUGGCCGAUGUAGAGAACCUUCGGGCGUUCGUCCUUCUCGCGGCCAAACGCCCCGGCGAUCUUCUUGCGGAGCUUGGCAGCUUCCUUCUUGGCAGCCUUCUUGGCGACGGGGACGGGGAUGCCGUCACCCUCGGAGUCGGACUCGAGCUUGAUGAUGUCAUCGCCGACGUUCUUGGGCGCCUUCUUGGCCUUCUUGGCCGACGCGUCGGCGCCAUUCUCGGCGGCGCGCUUGGGCAUCGCUCCCUCCUUCUCACGACGCGGAGACUCGGCGGCGGCCGCUUUUACGAAACGGAAUCCGCUUCAAGCCGGGGCGGUCGGCGCGAACGGCUUCGCGCGUUCUCCGGGUCGCUCGCGGUCGCUUUUGCUCCCGUGAGUGUAUCCUCCGAAAGCGGGAGGGUCCACGGGCGCGAAAGUCGCGUGCCCUGGCGAAGUGAGCCCGCUCCGAUGCGUUCUCAACACUUUAAGGCGGCGGCGACUGGAGCUGAGGUCAGGUCAGUAGCGGGAGGAUCCCAUCGACGGAUCGAUGGUUUUCUCGGCUGAAACUUGGAUUGAACAAUAAUUUUCUGAGAGCGACCGCCUCCGCCGAGCCCGGCGCGGCGAGCGAGGACGACGCGUCGAGCAAGCGAGCAGUGCAUGGUAAGAUUACAACAGGUUGUGCGAGACGCGGAACGCGUCGGUGAUGAUACAGGCUAGUAGGCUUUACCCCCCCCGGGUCUUCGCCGCUGAAACGUACAAACGCGCUCAGUGCGACGCCAGCGCCGACGGCUGCGACAGCGCUCGCGUGAGCUCAGACGCCCGCGCCGGCGCCAGGGAUCCGUCGGGUUUCGGGGAUCCGAGGCUCGUCCUCGCGAGCGCGUCGUUGACGUCGCCCGAGUUGACGGGGACGGCCUCGAGCGCCUCGUUGACGCGUCGCUCGUUCGUCCACCGACCCCGGGGCACCCACGCGGCGGCGGCGGCGGCUUUGUCUCUCGCGCGGGUCGAAGCGUCGAAUCCCGGCCACGUGGCGCCGUGCGAUUCGCGGGGUUUCGCGCAGGGAACGGGGAUCGGCGGGGACCGACGACUCGCGCUCGAAGACCCGGGCGGCGGCGGCGUCGGCGGACCGGCCCCGCGCCCGUCCGGCUCCCUCCUUCGCCACUCCCCCGUCGCGCCGACCCGGCCGCUAUUACUGCCCCAAAACGAACCACCCCCGCCGCCGCCGCCAUUACGACGCCUCCGCGCGGCCGUUCCGAACGACGCAUCGCCCGACGCGACGGACGAGCACGACGUUUGCCCCCCGCCCGACACGAGCGGCUCGCCCCGGUUGGUUCCCGCGUUACCAUUCGUGUGCACCGCCGGUCCGUCCCCCCCGUCCGCGCCGGGUUCCUCGCACCUCGCGGCUCUCGCCCCCGCUCGGUUGGUCUCGGCGCUGUGCCAAAACGCGCUAAACUCGAAGGGCUGGAGGUAACGCCUGCCGUACACGAAGCGUCCCGCGGGGAGGUGCGUGAGGUUCGUGGUCACCAAAGACUGGUAAUGCGCCCAGUCGCCCAUGGAGGAAGCCCCGGCGGAUGACUCGGAUAGAGACGACGGAGACCUCGAACGUUCUCUUCCAUCGGCGCCUCGGUCGGGCGAGACGCUCCGCUGCGACGACGCGCGCGAGGAGGGCGGAUGAAGGGGCGUGACGGGGCUCUGCCCGAACUGGUACACCACGCCGGGUUGGUGUUGGUGUUGGCGUUGGCCCUUGCCAGUGCCGGCGCCCGCCCCCGCGCCGCCGUUACCGCCGCUUCGUCCUUUGGGAGAAUCUUUGGCCCAUCGAGGGGGCCACGACGUCGCGGCUCUCGCGCCCGAGCGCGUGCACGUCACCAGCAGCGUGCCUGCGAGUUAGCGUGGACAUAUGCGGGGUCAGUCGGGGGCGGGGGGGGGGAUUUGGCUUCGGGAAACGAGCGAGAGUCGCGACGUGACGUGGGAAACCCAACGUGGUCAAGUUUCGACGCGAAAACCGUGUGACACGGCGGCUGUUGGACGUUGGAACGCACCGUCGGUCGCGUGCCCCAGCGCGAGCGGCGAGGACAGCGCGGUGCUCGCGGCGAAGACGCGCCCGUUCACCUUAUCGAUGAGCACGAACGAGAACUUGGCGUCGACGCUGAGCUCCCGGAGCUUCAUCUUCAGGCCGAUGGCCCUGGCCUUGGGCUCGGCGUGCGCCUGGCACGCGCGCGUGAACGCCUCGCCGACGUCGCGCGCUGUGAGCGUGUGGCUGACGAGGACCACGAGCGCGUCGGGGCGUUCGAGCACCUGCGGCGCGUGCGCCGGGCCGGCGUCGGGGGAGGGGACACCGUCGCCGAGGAAGGCGACGGCGCCCCACUCCAGCUCGACGAUACGAUACUGGGGCGGCGCGCUCGCGAGGUUCGCCCUGACGUUGGCCCUGCGCGGAUGGAGGCGGGGGUUCAGAAAAGUCAGGGAGGCGCGCGGUUCUCCGCGUCGGGAAAAAAAGGCGCGAAUGCCGGCGACGGGAUGUGCGCGCGUGGCGUCCGUCGCGCGAGCGUGAACCGACGGCGGGUGCGAAAACUCGGAACACUCGUCCCGCGUGGUCGCGUUCUCGCCCCGCGGUCGGGAGAAAGGUCGCGGCGCGCGGGACGCACCUCGCAUCUUCCGGGUCGUCGACGUCGCGGGGGCUGAGCACGACUGCGAACAAAGCCCGACCCGGCGCGGUGAUUGGAGGUCUUUCUCUCCCGGAAACGUCUCCCCAGGCGGCGGUCUUGCCGCCGCCCUUGCGCGGGCUCGACAUCGAGCGCUUCGCCGGGCCUACUACUCCGAGAAUGCGCCUGCGCGGGGGCGCUCGCUGCGUCGCGGUGCGGCCCUCCGGCGUGAAAGGGAAUGGAGAGCGCGGCCGGUGACUUUCUCCGAACGCCCAACUUUUCAAAGCGGAAAAAGAGAUCCGACUUCAGACUGAAACUCAUAGAAAAAAAAACGCUGAACCCCGUCCCGAACUAAAAUCGCAGGGACGUGGCCUCUUCGCAUGUUUUUUCAUUUUCGUUUCGCGCGCAAAAGCAGGCACACGUGGACUUUGGCCAAUUUUCCCGUUUGACGAGUUGUGAACGGUCACGAUGGGACCCGCCACUGCUCCGGACUGCGCACGUGGAAGGUUGAAAGGCAGAUAUUUGUAUGGGAGCCCAGUCUGUCAGGCAAACGAAAAGUCGCGAGGUGCCACCGGAUAGAAAAAGAAUCUCGGUUUGAGGCGUUGAGCCGUCGAGUCCGUUGCUUUCAAACGCAUCGAUCAAACUGCAGGGCCUUGAAACCGGAAACGGGUCAACGCCGAGCCUCGGUCAACUCCGGUCAACCCGUCCGGCGGUUCAACCCCGUCAGUCCUCCAUCGGACUCCACCGAACGGCGGGUGUGAUAGCACUAUCAUAACGAGAGCGGUAACCUCUCCGACGCGCUUGACAGGUGCAGUGCGCAGAGGGCGUAGGUGCCGACGCGGGGAGAGUCGGGGGCUCGCUCGCCAUGUGGGUUAGGACGGUAGUCCUCUCGCUGGUGUUGGGCGCGGUGCACGCGUCGGCGCACGGGCUGCACCGCCGGCUCCUUCGGCAGGACGAUCAUCAUCACGCGGCCGAUGAGUUCGGCGGGGGGUUCGAGCAACGAUGGGGUAGGUCGCUGCUCGGGUCGUCGGACGAUGCGGAUAAGCUGUCGAAGGGAAGCGACACGCACAUUGCGUUCUAUGUCAUCAUUCCGUUCGUCUCCGCGGUCGUUGGAUACGUCACCAACGUGGUCGCGCUGCAGAUGACCUUCUACCCGCUGGAGUUCACGCCGUCGCAGCUCAAGUUCGCGCAGCUCGAGGGCCAACCGUUCGGCUUACUGGGCGGGUGGCAGGGGAUCAUCCCCGCCAAGGCGGGCAAGAUGGCGGCGAUCCUGUGCGAUUUGAUGACCACGAAGCUGUUGGACGUGAAGGAGAUGUUCGGUAAGAUCGUGCCGGUCGAGUUCGCCGAGGCGCUGGCGCCGGAGAUGAACCCGUCCAUGAGCAGGAUCAUCGCGAACGUGAUGGCCGAGGAGGCGCCCACGUUCUGGAACUCCAUGCCCCCCAAGGUCCAGGCUGGACUGGUCAAGGAGGCCAUGGCGGGCGCCGAGGACUUCCUCGCGGAUGUCAUCGAGGAUCUCCAGAACCACGUGUACGAGGUGCUCGACCUGAAGGCGAUGGUGGUCAGACUUGCGCUGGAGAACAAGCAGGACGUCGUCCGGAUGUUCCAGGAGGUGGGCGAGUCCGAGUUUCGAAUCAUCGAACACAGCGGGUUCUACUUCGGGUUCGCGUUCGGGAUCGUGCAGAUGAUCACGUUCUACUGCGUCGACACGUUGGCGCCCAACUUCUCCGGCCCGUUGCUCCCGGUGUUUGGAUUCAUGGUGGGAUACGCGACGAAUUGGUUCGCGCUGAAACUGAUCUUUCGCCCCAUCCACCCCACGCGGGUGUGUUGCUGCGUCGUGCAGGGGGCGUUCCUGAAGCGCCAGGACCAGGUGAGCGAGAAGUUCAGCGAGCUCAACGUGGAGCUCUUCUGCAACGCGAAGAACCUCUGGGAGGAGAUGAUGUUCGGUCGUCUGCGGGAGGAGUUUGGCGAGCUGGUGAAGCGCAACACGCGCAGGUUCACGGACGUCACCAUCGGCAAGGGCGCGGGGGCGGUGAAGAUGGUGUUCGGCGCGGACGCCUACGCGCGGAUGAGGGAGAAGAUCGCGCAGAAUUUGGUGAACGAGCUGCCGAGGUGCGUCCCGGUGUCUUACGAGUACCAGGACAAGGCGCUCGAGGUUGAGGCGACGGUGUGCAAGGCUAUGAAGGGUCUGCCCCCCGACGAGUUUGAGGGCGUGCUGCACCCGGUGUUCGAGGAGGACGAGAUCAAGCUGAUCGUGGUGGGCGGGUGCCUCGGGGCGCUCGUGGGGUUCGCGCAGUACAUCCUGCUGUUCAGCGGGGGAAUAUAGUGCUACUAGCUAGCAUAGGCUACUCAACUUAGGCUACGACGGAACGACUACGUCAUCACUACCCCUCCCUUUAGAGCGAAAUCUGCAUCAACGAACUCGGGGAGUUCCCGCCAGUUCGCGAUCACAACUCGCGACGGGUGAUGCGCACCGCCGCGGUACCCACCAGUGCCAGCCGGUGUCUUCGCGAGGGGGGUACGCACGAUCCCGCUCGUCGGCGCGCCGGCAUGGCGAGCCACCGCGCGUCCCGACUCUUGGAACCGUUCGCGCGUCGGUUACGGCUCUCCAAUCGCGCGCCCCCGCGAUGGGGCCCCGUGCAGCGCCGGGCGGCCGCCGGGUUCAGCUCGCCCGCGCACUCGGCCGAACCGAUGUUCCGCGCCGACGCGCCCCACCUCGAGGGGAUGAACGACGAGCAGAUCGCCGCGAUCGUAGCUCCCGUCGCGCCGAUGAAGGUCCUCGCGGGUCCUGGCUCGGGCAAGACCCGCGUGCUCGUGGGGCGCGUCACGCACCUGAUUAACGAGCUCGGCGUGCCGCCGUCGCACAUCCUCUGCAUCACCUUCACUAACAAGGCGGCGCGGGAGAUGCGCGAGAGGCUCGUCGCGUCGGUCGGCGAGGAAAACGCGAGGCAGAUCACUGCGGGCACGUUCCACUCCGUCGCGUCGCGCAUGCUGCGCAAGCACGUCCACCUCCUCGACGGCUACGGCCGCGGCAACGACUUCGUAAUCUACGACGAGGCUGACACGAAAUCCAUCAUCCGCAAGAUCAUGGUGGACGUCUUCAUGGAGGACAAGAAGAAGGCGGACCCGGCCCUCGCAAAGUCUCGCAUCUCCGCCGCAAAGUCCGCCGUGGACGCCUGCGUCGGCAUGGACGGCCGCCGCAUGGCGCGCGCCCUCUGCGACACCCGGCCGUCGCUCAAGCGCGAUCCUUACAUCCGCGAUCAGUUCCCUCGCCUCUACGACGAGUACGAGGCAAACUUGCGUUCGUCCAACGCCCUCGAUUUCGACGACCUGCUCUCCGCCGCCGUCGCGCUGCUGCGCACGAGCGAGGAGGCGAGGCUUUUCUACAGGCAGAGGUGGCGCCACGUGUUGGUGGACGAGUUUCAGGACACGUCGCUCUCUCAGUACGAGCUCAUUCGCGCUCUCGCCGCGGAGACGGCGAGGGUGUUUGUGGUGGGCGACGUCGACCAGGCCAUCUACAGCUGGCGCGGCGCGGAGGUUGCGAACAUCAGGACCAAGUUCGACUCCGACUUUGCCGGCGCCGGGACGGUCCUCCUGACCAAAAAUUACAGGAGCACGGCGACCAUCGUCAAGGCGGCGCAAGCCGUCAUAGGCGAGUCGAGGGACAGGUCUCCGCUCGAGCUCGACGCGGUGCGACCCGGGGGCAAGGACGUCGCCGUCGUCGCCACGGAGGACGAGAUCGAGGAGGCGGACUUCGCGGCGAGGGAGGCGGCGAGGGCGGCGAGGAGCGGCGUGCCGUUGAAGGACAUCGCGGUGCUUUACCGGACCCACUCGCAGUCGAGGCCGCUGGAGGAGGCUUUCAUUCGCGCGGGGGUGCCGCACGUGGUCGUCGGGGACACGGCGUUCUACACCCGCAAGGAGAUCAAGGACCUCGUGGCGUACCUCCGGGUGCUUUUCAACUCGCGCGAUACCGUCAGUUUGCAGCGGAUCAUCAACACGCCGCCGAGGAAGAUCGGGCCGGGCACCCUCGAGAAGCUCGAGGCGUGGGCCGCGGGCCUGCCGUGGGUGGACGGGAUGCCGCAGCCGCUGGGCAUGGCGCUGUUGGACCGCACGUGGUCGACGCCGGACCAGGACGACUUACUCCCGCCCGCGGCGGACAUGGGCCUCGCCGCGGGCGCGUACAAGGCCGUGAGCGGGUUCGUGUCGGUGAUGCGAGAGCUCGGCGAAGCGGUGGAGGUUUCCGAUCCGGGUGCGCUGACGGAGGAGGUUGUUCGAAGGAUCGGGUUCGAGGAGUACGUCGCGGACAUGGAGAACGGCGACGAGCGCGUGGGGUACGUCAAAGAGCUCGUGUCCAUCGCGAGCGAUCCGUCCGCGGUCGAGUCGCUGGACGGCGUGGACGGCGGCGGCGCGGCGGGUGGUGGGGACAAUGGGGCGACGAAGAGGAAGUCGACGGGCCACGCGGGACUGGGCGAGUUUCUGGAGGGCAUCUCGCUGCUGAUGUCGGCGGAGACCCGGUCGGAGGAUGAGGGCGCGGACGCCGUCAAGCUGAUGACGCUGCACGCGGCGAAGGGCCUCGAGUUUGACACCGUGCUGAUCACCGGGUGCGAGGACGAGCUGAUUCCGUUCAAGCGCGGGGACGCGUCGUCGGACGCGGCGGAGCACGACGAGGAGGUUCGGCUCUUCUACGUCGGGCUGACCCGCGCCAAGCGUAAGCUCUUCCUGUGCCGAGCCUUCAAGCGCCAACGGUUCGGAAGGACCGUGUACGCCGACCCUUCGCCGUUCCUCGAGGUCAUAAGGGAGUCGCUCGUCGGCGGCAAGCCCCCGCAGGCUCGACGCGCGGGCAUGGGAAUUAACCCCGCCGAGGACGACGCAAACACCGACGAAUCGCCGAGACGCGCGGCUCUCGGCAGCGACAGCCUCGCCGAGCACCUUCGCAGGACCACCGGCGCAAAGGCGGCCACGGGCGGGUCGCCGGCGUUCAGGAAAUACGCCGCCGGCGAGAGCGGCGGGUACGCCAAGGCUAACGCGUGGAAGAGGAGGAUGAACUCGGCGCGGGAAGGGGGGGGGGGCGGCGUCCUCGGGGGAAGAAGGGGGACGAGGGAGGCGAUGGGCGAGGACGACCCGGAGGCUGCGGCGCGAAGAGCCGCGAGGAGGGCGUCGAAGGGCUCGUCCCGGGAUGCGACGAGGGCGACCAAGCCGCGGGCGACGGGGGUCGCGGGCGCCGCGGGUGGGCCGCGAGCCGCGCCCAGGAGGAGCCGCGGCAAGAUCGAAUGAGCGCGGGCGGAUGUUGUCAUACAGUCGCGAGCUCGCGAUUGAAAAUUUUGCAGAAGCCGGUUUCGUCCCCGGUCGAUCACGCCGAUAUCCCCGCCUCGUCGCAGAACGGCCCCGCGAUGAAGUUCGUGCACGGGAAGAACGUCGCGGACCCUUCCUUCAGGUCCUCGACGUCCUGCUCGAUCUCCUCCUCCGGCUUUCCCGCGUCGUGUCCCUCCUGAAUCGUUACGUCCACCUGGUGUGAGUAAAAUGUUGGGUAGGUCACCGAUAGCUCGUACCACACGAUGUCGUAGGAGAACCUCCCGACGGGCACGACGGUGACGGCGGCCUCGAGCGCGCCCUUCGCGCCCGCGGGCAGACCCGCGACGCUCAGCGUGAAGCGGACGAAGACGUCCUCGACGGCGUCGUCGUCCGAGGUUUCCUCCUCGAAGGUUUCCUCGUCGUCGAUGUGUAAGAGCUCGUCGCCGCCGCCGGCUGUGUCGUCGUCGUCGACGUCCGAGGGCGUCACGAGUUCGGGGUCGCUGACGUGCUCGGGCGCGACGCGGUCGCCCGCGAACGUGACGUCGACCGACGCCGCGUGAAGCGCCCGGCGCCUGGCCUCGCCGCGGGUCACCCCGGGCAGCGGCUGCUCCAGGCACAGCGUCUCCUCGGAGAAGACCGUCGUCGGGACGGGGUCCCCGCCGUCGCAGAGGCGAAGCGACGCGCGGCGCGACGUGAGUCGCGGCGCGGAGACGUCCGACGGAAGCGCGUCGCGGCCGGACGCGGCGGCGGACGCGGCCGGAACGCCGGGACGUCCCGCGGGUCUGUGCGAGACGCGGGCGGUUUGGGUUUCGGUUUGGGAAGUCGUUCGGGCUCGCGUCUCGGCCGAGGGUAUCGCCUGCCCCGCGGCGUGUCGCGCGGCGACGACGACGGCGAGCAGCGUCAGCAUCGACGCCAGCUGUGCGCGUCGGGGGUUCAUGUUCGCGUCGAUGGAACGCUCGCGCGCGGUGGCGAGUGCCGCGGCCGCGCGAACGCGACGAGCCCCGCGCGCACCGGGGGACUGCGCCUCGCUCGCCGAACGAGGGACAAACUGACCUUCCGUUCUCAUGGGUCAGGUUGGAGAGUUUUUCCAAACCGCGCGGCGCGAGCCGGCAUGCUCCCGCUGGCCAUCCUGGUGCCCCCGUCGCUCGCGGCGGGGGUGGCGGGAACGUGGUGGGCGGGCCGGCUCGCGGCGACGCGCGCGCUGGGCGCGGCCGAGCCCCCGCGGGGUACUUUCGCGGGUUCGGCAGCGGGCGUCGCUGGCGCGGCGUGUUUUUGGAGCGCGAUGGGCGCGACGGUGUUCCCGGCGUUCGACGCGAUGUCUUCCACGCCGGCGAAGAUAGAGUCGUUCAGGGACUUCACCCGGUCCGCGGGUCCGCCCACGGUCGCGAGGUGCGGCGGGGUGUUGGCGUGCUUCUUCGUCGCGGGAGCGUCCAAGACGGCGACGGACGUGUUGAUGGCGUCGCCGAAAGCUCCGUGAGCACGCGCGUGAGUGAGUGAGAAAACGUUCAACUGUCGCCGCUCUCGUCGCGUUUAGUCCUAGUGUGCUAGCCUAUGUAUCAGAGCCCGGUGAGGAGCAGCUCCAGCGCCUGCUGCUCGUCCCCAGCCGCCCUGGACAGCGCGUUCCGCACCGCAGCCUCGCCGAACCCCAUCUCCUUGAGCUUUUCUUCCUUCUCAUCCUUCCUGUUCUCGCUGGCGUACUUUGCCGUCCACUCCUUCGCGUGCUUGACAAACUCCUCGUAGCUGUCCAGGUACUGCCUGGCGACGACCGCGUCCUGCGGAUCGUUGGGCUCGGGGGUGGACAGGAGCGCCUGGAGCGAGAGCAUCGCCGUCUUGAUGCUCAGCGCGGGCGACCACUGAUCUUUGAGGAUGUCGAGGCAGAUGGCGCCGUUUGCGCUGCUGACGUUGGGAUGCCACACCUUGGUGAUGAAGCGCAUCUUGGGAGCCUCGAACGGGUAGGAGUUGGUGAGCUGGAUGUCCACCUGCGUGAUGAGGCGCGGCGGUUCGGGGCGUUCGGUCAGCGGCAUGAGAGUCGGAGGGGCGCGGGGGGGGCGGGAGGACCGGCGAAAAAGGCGCGCGGGGCGUGGCUCUCGUUUCGCGCGGGUUGGUGGGGGGCGAUCCUCGGAGGGGUUGGACUCACGUAGAACUUGCCGCCCUCGUACGGGGAUUCCUCGGGUCCUGCGUCGAAUGAGGAGUUUGUGAGGUGGGAACGUGAGAUCGGCGGUCGACGGUCGAGCGCGGCGGGCGCGCGAAGGGUCGGAUCUGGGUCGCCCCCACAGGGCUGAUCCGGGAGCCGCGGACGACACGCGAGAGGGGCGGGCCUCACCCUUGAGCGUGCCCUGCAUGUGCGCGAGGUUGUCGCCCAGGACCUCCACGGUCACGCCGGACUUGGUGUCCGACUGGAUCUCCCGGAGUUCCUUCGCGAGCCUGUUCGUGUCCAUGGUCGGUGCGGUGACCUUCGGUGUGGUCGAAAGCCGAGGACGCUGACCGCUGACGCCGUUUCGCGCGAUCCUGUCGUGAUCCGCGAGUGCCAAGUCACAGCUGGGGUGUGGGCGGCGGUGGACCCAUCGCGACGCGUCAUAACGCCCCGCGUCUCGCGCGGUUUCGACGCGUCCACCGGCCGCUCGUGCAUACACACGUACAUCGGAGAUCCGCCCGGGACCCGCCAUGGCCCUCGCAUCCGCAGCCGUCGCGACCCCGGCCCCGUCGUGGCGCGCCACCAACCGCGUCGGCGAGCGCGUCGGGAUGACUUUUUCGGUCGCGACGCGCUCCCGACCGCGAGCCGCCGCGCGCCGAUCCGUCGCCGCCGCCGCGUCCUCCUUCGAGGUUCCCGCCGAGUACGUCGCCCUCGCCGCGGAUCUCGUGGACGCCGCCGCUCGCAUCACCGUGAAGCACUUUCGCACACCGCUGGAGAUCGACGACAAGAACGACGCGUCGCCGGUGACCAUCGCCGACAAGGGCGCCGAGGCGGCCAUGCGCGCGCUCGUCCGCGAGCGGUUCCCGACGCACGCCAUCUUCGGCGAGGAGGAGGGCAUCGAACUCGGCGAGGGCGGAUCGCAGGAGUGGACCUGGGUCUUCGAUCCCAUCGACGGCACCAAGUCGUUCAUCACGGGUAAGCCGCUGUGGGGCACGCUGGUGGCGCUGCUCCACGACGGCGAACCCGUGCUCGGCGUAUUGGAUCAGCCCGUGCUGAAGGAGCGGUGGGUCGGGGUCAAGGGGCAGCCAUCCACGCUCAACGGCGAGGCCAUCUCGACCCGCGGGUGUAAGUCCCUGGGCGACGCGUACAUGUACUCCACAACCCCGUACAUGUUCGAGGGCGAUAACCUGACGCCGUACAAGGAGGUUGCGAAACACGUCAAGGUUCCGAUGUUCGGCUGCGACUGCUACGCGUACGGUCUGCUCGCGGCGGGUCACUGCGACCUCGUCAUCGAGGCUGACCUGAAGCCGUACGAUUACAUGGCGCUGGUGCCCAUCAUCAAGGGCGCCGGCGGCGUGUUCACGGAUUGGAAGGGGCGGGAGCUGCGGUGGGAGGGGUCGCAGGAGGCACUCGCGGCGGGGAAGUUUCAGGGGGAGGUGAUCGCGGCGGGUGACGCGGAGACGCACGCCGCGGCGAUUAAAAGGAUGGAGAUGGCGCUGGGUGUCUACUUCGUCAAACCCGAAAAGUAAUACUCCCGCGAGUACGCGGUCGUCUUAAUAUCACGAGGGACGCUUGACAUCUCAAGUGUUGGUCCGUCGCCGCGCAGUCUCAGGACGCGGAUCUGAUUUUAGCCCCGUGGCUCUCCCUCACGUCCGUUUUCCAUCCGAAGAGCUCGAUCGCCUCGUCGUCUUCCAGGUAAAACAUCUCAUCGCGGAUCGUGCCCACACCAUCCCCGUCGAGCAUUGAGAACCCGGCCGGAUCAGCGAGGCGCCUGAUGUUUCUCGUCCACGGGUGAACUUCCCCCAGGUGCGACUGGAUGAUAUUCCUGGCCUCGCCGUAGUGACGCCUCUCGCUCUGCAUCAGCUCACCAAUAUCAUCAAGAUGAUCGACUCUGAACACCCCUAGCCAACCCCGAAUCACACCCUCCAUUGCGAUGAGGUGAUCCGCGGGCUCCUCCAUCCGAUCGUGCUCAAUCAACCACGCGCGCACACGCAUUGCCAAGGUCAUGACCGCCGUCACAUUGCUUAGCACCUUACCUAGAUCUUUUUGCACGGUGGCUAUGUCGAGCGCGGCGUCUGCUCCAAACGUUCGCAAGCCAGCGAUCGACAUCUCCAUGGACCACUUAGCCACGGCUAACAGGCCAAACACACCGUUGACAUAGUUGUCAAACGCAUCACUAACCUGAUGGCCGUCCGGCAUAUCAGCAAACAUAGUAGACCUGAGACCUCCCAAUAGGGCGCUGGCGUGGCAGUAUGAUACCUCACCGUACACUGCUAUCGCGGUGUACAUCCUCCGUUUAUCGUCCAUAGCUCGCCAGAUGUCUACGGCUGUGCGGGCAGCGAGGGCCGCCUCUCGGAAUCGCACGCGGAUGUGAUCUUCACGAUCCCAACCAACGCCCUCACUGCCUGUCAAGGUAGGGUAACUAUCUUCGGUUAUGGGACACCAACCCAAUUGAUGGCAAUCGUCAAAAUCCUCGACCGCAAAGUAGACGUUUGGGUCCACCUCCUUCUUCAUCAGAGUGUGAUUUGAAUCGUCAAAGAUAAAAAAAUCAGAGUCUGGGAACCUCGGCAUCUCUGCGCACGCCUCGGCAACGUGCGCCAUGCGUUGUUGUCUGUUUUUGACCUUGUACAAGGGUUGUUCGUGUUCGCACUCGUGGGGCCAAAUGAACAACGGCGGGCCCAAACAGCACGCAUCCUCGACGCUCAUCGCAUCGAGACCGAGGUGUUGCGCCAUGAUGCCCAGGGCUCGAGCGCGUGCUUGCAUCGCGGCAGCCAACCUGGCGAGCGCGGAUGGAUAGUUCCCUUGGACACUUAACCCUCCGGCUGUUCGCGCCAGAUCUCGCGUCACCGCCUCCUCGAGCGAGAGCACCCGUUUGCCAUCCUUGCAGACGACGGUGUACAUCUCGCGGAUGGCUUGACUCGUGAGUAUGACCGACAGCGAGAGACGUUCGAUGUCUUGCAGGUUGUCCGGGCGCACGACCGUCCCUGCGUAUACCUGAUCGAUGAACCAAUCAGAGACGGCGAUGUUGCUCUCCACGUGCCGGACCACCGACGGGUCCUCACUCUUCGUGUGGGGGAACGAAGAAUCGAGCAGGCACAGACGACACCAUUGCCGCGAGGAUAAGGACAUCCUGAGGAAAGAGCGUAUAUUGUUGGCAUUCGGCACGCUCCAUCUGAACCUUCGAGGGCGGUUGAUCUCUUGGACGGCUUUCGGCGCGUUUGGCGGAUCGCUUUCCAUCUCCGGGACAGCCGCUCGAGUCAACGCGACGGCGAGUUCCCAUCGGCCAAUCGACGCCAGCCUGCCCGCCGUCGCCAUCGCCCGCGCCCUCGCGGCUUCGAACACGCGCGUCCUCGCACCGAGCGAACGAAGGUACCUGACGUAGUUCAACGUGGCGUACACGCACACGAUGCCGAUGCCGAUUUGCGCUCUCUCGUCGACGUCGCUCGCGCCCGCGCCCCCGAACAUGAGCCACAGCAGCUGUCGCCUUCGCCUCUGCAGGCAGAUGGGCGCGACGAGGCCCGGGUACCCCUUCUCCGGCAACGGCGCGAGCGUGUGCUUCGGUCGAUCGGUUCGGCACGCGCCCAGCGUUGCGUUCGUGCCCGCCGCGACGAACGCGCACGUCGCGGCCCAGCAGCCGAGCCAGGUUUCCCCCGGGAGCGGGGCGAUGUUUGCGAUGUUUGCGUCGCGUCGUCCGAUGCCCCGUCGCGGCGCCCCGUCCCACUCGCCGUCGUCGUAGGUCAUCAUCACCCGGGUCUCGCUGCCCGCCUCGCUCUCGUAGACUCCCUCCGUCAGGUCCAGGGGCUCGAAGGAGUCCGGAUCGCACGCGAGGACUUGCACGAUCUCCGGCCACUCGCGUCUUCCAUCUAACAGACCGCCGUGCAGGGUACCGGGACCGAGCGGUUCUUCCACGAGCCUGCACAUGUCGUUCGCGUAGGCCGAAUACUCGGUACCGUCCGUCCAUACCUCUCGCCCGCCUUUGACGAAGUCGGUGUACGUGCGCUCCGCGAACGCCAACAGAGCCUGCCGCGCGGCGAGCUCCGCGAUGUCGGCCGAAUGCGCGGCUGUUUGCGUCGACGCCGAAGCGGCGACGCGAUAUCGCGCGAUGUCUGCGGGCUCAAGCCUCGAGAGCACGUCGACGUGUAGUUCCACGGGUAACCCGGCGAACGCGUCUCGGUCCACCAUCCUCGCCGCGCGGAGUGGGCCAGUCGGGCGCGCCCCGCGUCGCUGACGCUGCCGAGAUAUCCGCCCCGCGAAAAAGUUCACGUCAGCGCCAAAACUGACGUCACGCAAACGAAAGCUGGAAAGGCGAAACGUCGGAGGUGGAGACGCGCCUCACACGACGACCCCCGCACGACGACACCCGACCGUCCCGCCUUUCCCCUCCCCUCAUGACGUCCCCCGUGCCGGCGACCGCGACCUCCUCGCUCCGCGCGCUGCUCAACACCCCGCUGCAGGCCGUCUUCGAAGCUCGCCUCGAGUCGCCGACGCAGACCUGGCGCCCGAGCUCGGGCAGCGGCGGCGCCACGCAACGCGUCGUGACCCUCAGGCACAACGACACCGUGGGGAUGGCGCUGACGAAGCUGGCGAGGCACCGCGGCGGUCUCACCGGCGCGCCGGUGACGAUCGAACCGGACCCGCUGCACGCGGACUGCAUGGACCACGGCUCGCGGGUGGACCGAGACGACGGAUACGAAGCCGCCGUGCUCCUCGGGUUCUUCGACACGGGAGACGCCCUGAGGGCUCUUAUCGACGCCCUCCCCGACGAGGACAGAAAGCGCGCGACGGGGGAGAUAAUCGCCCCGACCCGAAACGUCCUCGCGUGGAUGAAGUUGCUCGAGCAGAUGCAGAAGGGCGUGACGAACAGGCGGCUCGUGCAGGUUCUCGGCGACGACGCCGAGCUCCUUUACCGUCCCAACCUCCGAGGCGUCACCCUCGGCGAGGCUGUCCGAGAGGGCUUCCUCCACAACAAGAGCGCCAACGGGUUCGUGCACAGGCUGGCCAUCUUCGACGAGAAAGGCGAGAUCACGCGCGUGUUCAGCAUGAGCGACGCGGUGCGUUACCUGGCGUUACGAUCCGACGACAUGGGCGGACUCGAGGACAUGACACUCGCGGAACUCGGCCUGGGCCAGGACACCGAAAGGCUCGUAACGGUGGACCCCUCCGUGCCGGCCAUAGAGGCGUUUGCUCGCAUGUGCCACAAAGGCGUGAGCGGCGUCGGCGUGCUGGAUAAGACCCAGGGUUUAAUCGCGAACCUCAGCGCGUCGGACCUGCGGGGCGUCACCCCCGAGCACUUCGGCAUGCUGGGCCUCCCGGUUGCCGAGUUCCUCGCCCUGCUUCACGGAACCUCCUACGCCGGCUUCUCGCACAUCGAAUCGCAGAACCGAAGCAACCCUUUCUUCGCCAACGCCAAGGAAAAGGCGAAGGUUCUCGUCGUCGCGAAAUCCGACGACGUGCUCGGGAAGGUGCUUCAGCUCGUGCGCGAGCGCGGCGUGCACAGAAUUUACGUGUGCGAGAGAGGGAACAAGCCAGUCGGGGUGGUUACGCUGACGGAUAUUCUCGCCAGGGUCGCCCUCGCCGCCGACCCGCUCGUCAGCGACGUCGUGGAGAGGUUCGCGUGAGAUUCUCUCGACAUACUCUCGUUUGUUUGAUGAUUGAACGCCUACGCACGUGAAUGAUAGCUAAUCGUGAUUCAUCCCGGCGGUGGCCGCCAUACCCUCCAUCGAAGCCGUGAUGGCUCUCACCCCACCGACGAAUGGAUCAAUCUCGAGGACCCUCUUGUGGUUGAGCGGCAUGCAGUACAUCUUGCCGUUCGCGCUCAUCACGCCACCCUCCCACUUGUUCAAACCCCGAAACGGCCCGCCCACAGUCUUGACGACAACUCGGCCCUCACCUUUCACCGCGGGGGGUCUCACCGUGAGCACAGUCUCCCCCUUCAGAGGUAUGCCCCAUAUGACGCCGUCGUCGCCGCAAAACCCAUUUUGCCAUUUAUUCUGCACGAUCCGUUCAUUCUCCAAGCUCUCGCCCACCUCGCGGACCUCGUCCGUCUCGCAGUCGACCUGCAGCACGUAGUCGCUGUCGCUGGGUAUGAAGUACACGCAUCCGUCCUUCCCGAGGACUCCGCCGAGGAACUUGUAUUUGCCGUCUGUCCUGUGCCGCCCGGUGCGAAGGUUCUCGCCAAUCUCCGUCAUACGCGGGGGAUUCCCCGGGAUGAUCUUAAGAAUCGUGUUCGCGUGCGCGGGGAUCCCGUAGAUGGCGCCGUCCACGCCCACCGUCCCGCCGUGCCACUUCCACCCGCCCGACGGGUACUUCCCGUGCAGCGUGCACUCCGCGCCGUUCGGACCCUUCGGGUCGAUCCUCAGAACCGAUUCGGCGUUUUGGGGUACGCCGUAGAUGCACCCGUCGGUACCCAUGAGCCCGCCGUACCACUUGUUGCGACCGGGAAACGCCGGGCCGAUGAGCUCGCACGAAUCCGUGGCCGGAUCGAUCUUCAAGACGCGCUCCGCGAACUGAGGGAUGCAGUAGAUGCACCCGUCGUGCGGCGACAGCACGCCGCCGUGGAACUUCCACAAUCCAACGCCAAUCUCCCCGGCGCCAAUCUCGGUGAUUAUCGGUUCCGGGCCGGGUACGAUCUUUAAGACGGUGUCGGCGUGGCAGGGAAGCCCGUAGAUGGCGCCGGACUUUGGGCACGUCACCGAUCGGAGCCACUUGAACUCCCCCGGGUACUCGGGACCGACGUACUCCACGCCGCCGUCGUUCGGGUCUAUGCGAAGGACCCGCCUCGCGAACCCCGGAAUCGCGUAAAUCUUACCGUCAGAGCCGAGCGCUCCGCCGAGGUACUUCUCCCUGCCGAGGAUCGGGCCGCCGAGGAGUGCGAGGCGCUCGUCGCGCGCGUCGGGGUCCCUGCUGAUGCGGGGCAUCUCCCGUCGUCGACGCUCGCGGCGAACGUUCUUCCGUCUCGUUUCCUCCUCCUUUGGGUCGACGUUUUCCUUCUUCUUCUCAGGUCCGCUCUCCCCGCUCUCCCCGCUCUCCCCAUUCUUCUUCCCCUUCGGCCUCGGGGUCUUGUGCGCCUCGUACCGCUUCGCCACUCGCUUGCACCACGUGCUGAACAGCAUCUGUUUGUACUCCCCCGGGUCCGGGAGCGAGCGCGACGGCGGCAUCUUCAGCGUCGCGUUAGGCGCGGGCCUCCAGAAAAAAGUCGCGGCGACUCGCGAUAGACCCAAAGACCCCGGGUCUCUCACCGCCACCCUGUGCCUCGCCGCCGGGAACGCGCCGCGCGUGAUCCUGUCCAGCACGCUCCCGACGAACACGGUGGCGACGUCGUGGCCGUGUUUGGGCACCUCGACCCACACGCCGCGGCCCUGUUGGGAGAGAAACUCGAGACCCGCGGCUCCGUCGGACGAAGCAGGCGCGUCGUGUAACACGAUUGAAACCAGGCUCGGGUCCGUGUGCACCGGCAGCAGCACCGUCUUGUCGUUUUGCUCCGAUUUGGAAGCCUUGGUGCAUCCCGCGAUUGAACGCGCGUGAACGUCGGCGCGUUCGGGUCGGUACCUCUUCACGUGCCACUGCGAGUUGUUCGCGAUUGGACCGAAGGUUUCUUCGAACCAGCCGGUGGGAACGUCGAGGUGGCGCUCGAGAGCCGCGAGCACCCCGCGUGCCAGCGCGAGGGCGGAGUCGUGCAUCGCGCGGCAGUGCGCCUCGAACCGCGCCGCCGCGUACGGAUCGUCCCGCGGCACGCCAAAGGUGGCGCCGUCGCUGAAGACGAAUCCCUCGCGGGUCUGGUUAUACGAAGAGCCCCAUCCCGCGGCGUGGACGCCGGUGGCGUGGCCGGAGUCCGCGGAGUCCGCCAGGACGAGCGGGUCCCCGUCGCGCACCAUUUCCUCGCACGAGUCCAUGCCGUCCUUGGCCACCUCGAAGCAGGCGCGAUGCAGCGCCGCGGCGGCGUCGUCGACGCGAACACACGCCACGCCGCAUCGGCGCAGGGAGAUCGCGGCGUCGCCGAGGCCGGCCGCGUCCGCCGCGAAGAGCGGCGGCGGUGCGUCCUCGUCGCGGACCGCGGCGGCGGGCUCGGCGGCCUCCGAGGCUGGCCGCGGCUUCCCGCCUUUGUUUCCCAUGACCUACUCGGGCGCUCGCCGGGCGCGGCGCGUGGGCCCGAAGAGCGUCGGCGGCGGCGGUCGAAAGUGUCGGCGGUCCCGUGCGGUCCCGUGCGGGAAUCCGUCCUGUUUCGUUCGCGGGUUCGAGGGGCAGCUUCUGUUCGGCGGACCCGAGGUUUCUUCUUCGCUUCCACGCCGACGCGCGCGCCGCCUUCCCACUCAUCCCGCGCGCGUCACCGCCAUGGCCUCGUCUCCACCCCCACGCCACGACCACCACCGCCAGCGCUCGCGCGGGCGCGUCACCCCGUCUUACGUAUCGUUUCCCACCUGCCUCUGCAUGCUCCUCUGCGCGCUCCUGUGCAGCUUCCACACCUCGCCGGGCGGCCACGGCGCGGUGGCGGCCGCCGAGGAGGGCGACGGCGAGGGCGACGGAAUAUCUCAGGGUCCGUAUCUCAAGGUGUCCAAGGUUUCGAAACACCUCGAGCGGGCGAGGACCGGCGAGGACCUCCGCGUCGACGCCGAUAUCUCCUUUCGACGAGAGGGCCUCGGCGAGGACGACCCUUACCUCGUGUCGCUCCACGACCGAUACGUCGUCACCGCGCGAAUCCGUUACGUCUCCAUGUUCGGAGAGGAACGCGUGGCCGACAUGCGACGCGUGCCCGACGCGAAGCCCACGUCCUGGACCGGCUCGAUACCCGCGGAAGACCUGCCGGGAUACGGCCAGAUGGUCCGAUACGGCGUCGAGGCCUCGGCGGUGGCGAGGGAGUUUCCCUUUGACUCGCUGCGCGACUCGAAACCGAAAGGCGAUAAAAAAUACGCAACCGUCGUGGACCUGGUCGCCGUCGCGGACGAGACGUCGCUGCCCACGCUGCACUGGUUCGUAAAAGCGCCCGAGGACGAGGCCAACGCGAUGUGGGACGAGCCCGUCGGCUGUUUCCUGAUGUUUCCAGAGAACGGACCGGCGAAUAAGGGCGGAAAGCUCAGGUUUUACGACGCGGUGACCGUUCGAAGGAGGGGGUCGGGCCGCCGCGGGCAGAACGCGGCGGCGAACAUGUGGGGCAAACGCGGGAGCAAGGACUGGCCGAAGCGCAAGCUCAAGUUCGACUUCGACGGGCCUUCGUUCCGCGUGGACUGGGGCGACGGCCAGCGAAGGAAAGUGGAGGAGGUGAACCUGCACUCCGGAUACGAUGAACCGGGGCCCGGAGCGACGUACCUGCGCGAGGUUCUAGCCGCGUCCGCGUUCGAACGCGUGGGCGUCCCGGCCCCCGCCGCCAAGCACGUCGUCCUCCGCAGAAACGGCGAGUUCUUCGGCCUCUACGUCAUGGUGGAAAACGUCGACGGCGAAUUCCUGGAGCGGAAAGGCGAGUCCCCGUCGGGGCCCCUGUUCAAGGCGGUGCACUGGAGGCAGAGUAACCUGCGCCCCCGGGCGCCGGCUUGGGCGCCGUGCAGGUACGACGCCGCGUGGGAGAGCGGCUGGGGAGCGUGCCCCGAGGUGUACAGGUACUCGACGUCGCCUCGACACCUCGACGAGGCGGGCGCGAGGGACGAACUCGACGCUUUGCUCUCCGCCCUGGACGCGAUCAACUCCCGCGGCGACGCGACACCGAUGCGAGCCGCGAUAGAUACGACGCUCGUGACUCGGGAGAUGGCGGUUCAGACGGCGCUGCUGCACCAGGACAGGUGCGCGAAGAACUACUACGUGUACAGGUCCAGGGGAACGAACAGGUGGUCUCGGAUCCCUUGGGACAUGGAGGAUUCGUUCGCGACGGAUUACAGAAAUAAGGCCGGUCGAUGCGACGACGACGGCGGCGACGCGUGCGACUGGGCGCAGUACUGCGUGCAGUCGUGUUGGAAGUGGAACUCGCCGUUCUUCUGCGACAGGGACCACCCCCAGGACAUAUUCACGGAGAGCGACGGACGAUCGACGUGGAAUCAUCUGGUAAACGGCGUGUUGACGGACGUCGACUCUCGGACCGCGUACUUGCGCGAGUUGAAGAGGGCGACGGAGUCGUUGCAUCACUCCGGUUGGCUGGAGGGCGAGGCGCGGCGGCUCCGGGACGUGAUCUCGUCGGACGCGAGGCGGGACGCGGCGAAGUGGGGGCUGGGGGAUCUGGACGAGGGCGUGAACGCGCUGGUGCGACAGAUCCGCGACAGGAAGUCCAUCCUCGAGUCAAACUACGGCGCGUGGUGGCGGGACCUGUGAGAGACGCGCGGUAGACUAAACGCUGAAUCGUUGAAUUGACACGCCUCAUCCCCUUCGCUAUGUGCAUCAGCGGCCACUUAUUAGGUCAGCACGAGGCCGAUAUCCCCGGGCCCGAGCUUGUUGUGCAGCCUCCAGUUGUACAGGUAGUACUGAAGGUUGCCAUCGCCGAUGCCAAACUUGAGAUCCUUGAGAAACUGAGCGUUGUCCAUCAGGUCCAGGCAGUUGAACACGUCAAAAUCCUUCUGCCUGGCGAGGAUGAGCGCGUCUUCCAUCAGCCGCGUCAGGUCCGCCUUACCCGCGACGUUGUAGUACGAGUACGCCGCCCGGAGGGUGCUGUGCCCGCCGCUGGAUUGGAUCACGGUGGACGGGAGCGAGUAGAAUGACACGAAAUCGGUGAUUUUCCCCGGCUUGUCCGGGUCCUCCACCACGUACGAGUAAACGACCCCAUCGCGCAUCGAUAGGUGGUGCCUCGUCUCCUCCUCGUCGAAAACCGGCGCGACGGCAAACUUCUUGAGGUAGUUGUUCAGCAACGCGGUCACCGCGGGCACGUCCUUGUCCUCCAUCGGUCGGAUCCCGGGCGUGGCCGGCUUCUUGUCCAGCCUGAAGAACUUUAUCGUCUGGCUCAUCGUCAUGCGGCUGUGGAGAUGGGUGAACCCGAUCUCCACGAGCUUCUUGACGUUGAGCGAUCGGUGCCAGUACCGAGCGGUGCCGAUGGGCUUGGGGAGCACCACGCCCGCGGUGUACGCCGCCUGCCAGAUACCGCUCAGGUUGAUCCUCCGGGUGAUCUCGCGGAUGAGCAUGGGAGCCAGUCGCUUCGAUCGGAGCUUCUUGUGGAUGCACAGGAAGUUGAUCUCCGCCAGGUCCAGCUUCUUUCCCUUGACCGACAGCUUGGCGGGUACGCCGGUGAUGAACGCGACCAGCUUACCCGUGCCCACCACCCUCACGCCCAGGUGCCAGUCCUUAACGUACCCCGGGGGCUGGAGCACCCACUUGAGGAACUCGCGCGAGUACUGGAACCUGAACAUGGCGUCGUCGUCCUCGACGUAGUUGUUGUCGAGGAGCUCGAAGACCUCAUCGUUCACCUUCUUGUCCGUUACGUCGCACGUGCACCACUCGAACGACGGUGGCAGGUGGUACCCCUCCUUCUUCACCUCGUCGACCGUCAUCGGGUCGUCGAUCGGGCCCUCGGGUCCGGAUUUAUCGAGCUCGGGCUUGAGCUGGCCCACCGGCUGGGUCUCCCAGAAGGCGUGGUCCUUCACGUCGUCGAGGGACAUGCCGGCAAAGGAUCUGCCAGCCUCCUCGGCCAGAUCCGAGGGCGCGGGACGCUCAUGGUCCUCGUCCGCCAUGAUGCUACGCGUCGAUGGGACCCCCCGAUCGUCGCGCACGAAAUACUGAUGUUUGUGAUGCGACAGGACCGCGCCAAAUCGACUGAAUCUCGGAGCUGCCCGGGGUUGACAAAUACGUCCCGUUUGAACGAGCGGACGCGCCCAAAACACGGGUCACCGACCCCUUCCGCCUCGAAAGGUUCGCGGCGGAGUCUCCCGAUCCCUCGGUCCGUUUGGUUCGUGCGCGCACGGACGCUCACACGCCCGCGGGAGCGACGGGACGCACCGUCGAGUCGCCCUCCGUUGGACUACUUUUUUGUUCGUUGGGGUGCCGAACGAGAUCUCGUUCGCCGUCGGAGGCGGAGACCGUCAGGUACCGGGGUUAGCCGCUGAGACGUCGUCGAGAUGG